rnacentral:tRNA from 1 species
AGUGAGAUGGCUGAGUGGUUGAAAGCGUUCCCCUGCUAAGGGAGUAUGUAUAAAAAUAUGCAUCGAGGGUUCGAAUCCCUCUCUCACUA